rnacentral:rRNA from 1 species
UCUGGGACAAGCCCUGGAAACGGGGUCUAAUACCGGAUAAUACUUCUGCCUGCAUGGGCGGGGGUUGAAAGCUCCGGCGGUGAAGGAUGAGCCCGCGGCCUAUCAGCUUGUUGGUGAGGUAGUGGCUCACCAAGGCGACGACGGGUAGCCGGCCUGAGAGGGCGACCGGCCACACUGGGACUGAGACACGGCCCAGACUCCUACGGGAGGCAGCAGUGGGGAAUAUUGCACAAUGGGCGAAAGCCUGAUGCAGCGACGCCGCGUGAGGGAUGACGGCCUUCGGGUUGUAAACCUCUUUCAGCAGGGAAGAAGCGCAAGUGACGGUACCUGCAGAAGAAGCGCCGGCUAACUACGUGCCAGCAGCCGCGGUAAUACGUAGGGCGCAAGCGUUGUCCGGAAUUAUUGGGCGUAAAGAGCUCGUAGGCGGCUUGUCGCGUCGGUUGUGAAAGCCCGGGGCUUAACCCCGGGUCUGCAGUCGAUACGGGCAGGCUAGAGUGUGGUAGGGGAGAUCGGAAUUCCUGGUGUAGCGGUGAAAUGCGCAGAUAUCAGGAGGAACACCGGUGGCGAAGGCGGAUCUCUGGGCCAUUACUGACGCUGAGGAGCGAAAGCGUGGGGAGCGAACAGGAUUAGAUACCCUGGUAGUCCACGCCGUAAACGGUGGGAACUAGGUGUUGGCGACAUUCCACGUCGUCGGUGCCGCAGCUAACGCAUUAAGUUCCCCGCCUGG